rfam:Amborella trichopoda AMTR_V1.0_contig_16143, whole genome shotgun sequence.
AAAAGCAGGGACCUGUUUUUCUUAUGAACUGGUCUCUAGUAAGCCGCAUGAAAUUGCUUGCAUUAUUAUUUGGUGAGUCUUUGUACGCACACUGGUAACAAAAGAUUCAUUGAAUGGUAAGACAUUC